UAAUGUAUGGGGAUCUGCCCCGAUAGAGGGGGGUAACUACUGGAAACGGUGGCUAAUACCGCAUAAUGUCUACGGACCAAAGCAGGGGCUCUUCGGACCUUGCACUAUCGGAUGAACCCAUAUGGGAUUAGCUAGUAGGUGGGGUAAAGGCUCACCUAGGCGACGAUCUCUAGCUGGUCUGAGAGGAUGAUCAGCCACACUGGGACUGAGACACGGCCCAG
rnacentral:rRNA from 1 species